GUCCCUAUCUACUAUCUAGCGAAACCACAGCCAAGGGAACGGGCUUGGAAUCAUUAGCGGGGAAAGAAGACCCUGUUGAGCUUGACUCUAGUUUGGCACUGUAAGAAGACAUAAGAGGUGUAGCAUAAGUGGGAGAUAUCUCACCAUUUAUCACCAAUGAAAUACCACUACUUUUAUCGUUUUCUUACUUACUUGAUUGAGUGGAGAAUGGACUUUCAUUCAUUCCAUGGAUGGGGAUUUAUUUGCUGCAUGACAAUGAUGAUCUUGUGCACUUUUCUCCAACCAAGUGUCAUGAACCGUUGGUACGUUUGUACAAUUGAAAUGUCUUCACGGAUGUGGAAAUUGGAGGAUUGACAAUUAUGGUUAAGACACAAUCCAAGUCAGGGACACUGCCACGUGGGGAGUUUGACUGGGGCGGUACAUCUCUAAAAUAAUA
rnacentral:rRNA from 1 species